CACUGUGAAUCGUGUUGACCGAAUAUUGCCUACCGCAACGUCACACACCAUCAAUACAACGUUUGGGAAACACUGUAGCGGCACACAAAACGAACGCUUCCCCGAAGCGAAACGACAAACCAUCGGAACGAUGGUCAUCAAUUCACACUCUCACACCGAGAAAACUGCAGCUCUCCAACAAAGCAGCAGCACGAACAAAGAACACUUUUAGUAGUGCGUCCAAGCCAUCCGCAUCGCAACCGCGAUCUCGAGUUUUAAAAACCAACGUGGCUCAACUAAAUGGUUGGACACCUUUGUGAUAUACAAGAAAAGCCACACAGAAGGAAGGAGACCACUACUAAAAUUCCACCAGCACCAAGCGUCUGCAGGGUCACCAUCUUGCCUAGCAUAAGCAUACACGAUUCCAAAGGAGUACCACGUCAGCGAUCGCAGUGCCAGAAGCACGAAUCCGAGAAAGGCUCUCUAUCAAGAGGGCCUUUUAUCACGUGCCUCAUUGGCGUGCGCAUCCAUCUUGCCAAGGCAUCUAUCCGGGUUGCCUCUUCUCUACCCUGGUCGCGGCUUCAUGCCUCGAUCGCAUCAGGAGCGACUCGGUAACACAUAGGCAGUCAUCACUCUAGUACCUCCUCAAUCCGUGCACGUGCUAGUGACAAGAAGACGCGGUAGUGUUAGUGGAAAUUCUUGCAUGCAAGCUUCGAUAAUCAUCGAGCAAAACACCUAGCCAUCAACACGGCCGCCGACGCCGAUCGUCGUGUGCGUGUCAAUCACAUCAACACACUCCGAUCCACGCAAGAUGAGCAGACAGUGUUUACCGAUAUAUGCGAGCAGAGUCAGCGGCACAGUGUAAUCAAGAUCACCCGCGGUGGUGUUCGUUUGAACCGGAGUAUCAGUGCGAAGAGAAUAUUCGGCUCGUGCUCGGGGUUGCGUCGCGUCUGAAUCGAUAGGCCAAAAUGCAAGUGCAUGUAUGCAAGCCGUGACGGAGUGAAUGGUGUUAUUGUAUGCGAAGAAGAAUCUACCUGGACGGUAGAUUGCAUGUUGAUAGUGUGUGAGAGUAGUCGAACUAGGCAGCAACGAGAGCAGCAGGUAGCCUGCCGGCCUGAAGAUCGACGUCAGUGAGAGUGAAUGUUGACGUCCAGCUAAUGUGUGUUCCCGCUUUCGAAUCUACAAGCGCUCAGUAUCGAGCGAUCGAAUACCGCCGCGCCUACGGCGGCGCCACAGCUGUAAAGGGGCCCCUUCUUCAUUCCAGCAGUGGCUCAUCAACGAGUCGGUACGGAACACCGACGGCAAAAAGCGUAGGGUAGAGACUAAGGUAGGCUUAGACAUUAAGGACCUUUGUGAUCAAUGUAAUAAGGGCUCAAUAUAGUAAUGAUCAAAAUGAUCUUUUUUUUGCGUAAAUACUCAUUGGCUGCCCGAGUAUCUUAUUGAAGUAAAGUGCGCUUUAG